rnacentral:rRNA from 1 species
GGCAGACGGGUGAGUAACGCGUGGGAAUCUACCCUUUUCUACGGAAUAACGCAGGGAAACUUGUGCUAAUACCGUAUGAGCCCUUCGGGGGAAAGAUUUAUCGGGAAAGGAUGAGCCCGCGUUGGAUUAGCUAGUUGGUGGGGUAAAGGCCUACCAAGGCGACGAUCCAUAGCUGGUCUGAGAGGAUGAUCAGCCACAUUGGGACUGAGACACGGCCCAAACUCCUACGGGAGGCAGCAGUGGGGAAUAUUGGACAAUGGGCGCAAGCCUGAUCCAGCCAUGCCGCGUGAGUGAUGAAGGCCCUAGGGUUGUAAAGCUCUUUCACCGGUGAAGAUAAUGACGGUAACCGGAGAAGAAGCCCCGGCUAACUUCGUGCCAGCAGCCGCGGUAAUACGAAGGGGGCUAGCGUUGUUCGGAAUUACUGGGCGUAAAGCGCACGUAGGCGGACAUUUAAGUCAGGGGUGAAAUCCCAGAGCUCAACUCUGGAACUGCCUUUGAUACUGGGUGUCUAGAGUAUGGAAGAGGUGAGUGGAAUUCCGAG